CCUGAAAUUUGAGAAAACACUUUUGGGCAGCUUUGAAGAAGCCUUAUGCAGUGACAAGUGUGCACCUGAGGAGCAGAGGGAGGGAGUUUCUUUUGGGAAGUGGGGGAUGGAGAAGAGGCAUCAUGCAAAGAAGAUUUAAAAGAACCGAUGUGCUGUCUUGGCUUGCCUCUCCUCUGUGUUGCCAGAGCCUGUGCCUGCCUGCUUCAGGCCUCAGGAGCUGGUGCUGCUGCCUUGCGCAUCCUGCACGAGUGCCAUGGCUGUCAGUGAGCUGGCUAUCCUGAACAAGCUUCUUGCAGUCUGCUUUAAUGCCAGCCACAUCAUUUCUGUGAUAGAUCCAGGUCAUAAAGAAAGCAUGCGACAGAGUUCCAAACAAAAUAGAGGGGAUUACCACCUGACCUGCCUUUGUUCAAGAGCAUCUGUUGACUAUGAAUCACAAAGGGUCGGACUCUUUAGGAAUCCAUCUCACCUCUCAAGAGCAAGUCCUUUCAGCAUGCUUGUACAAACAGAAUGGAUUAUUUCUUAGGCAUGAAUGAAACUGUAGGAGCCCUUUGCUAGAUGGGAAGUGUUAUUUUGGACCAGUCUUCCAUGGUGUUUGAUAAUAAUAUAACAACCUGAUCCUCUGCAUUUAUUUAUGAAAGUAAAUGGAGGCUAGGAAUCAACAUUGGAAAGCUUUUGGUGCUAAUGCAAUAUUACUUCUAGAAUGGUUGCUUGUGUGAUACUUCUAAAAAGAUGAAUCAGCAAAAGUACAAAAGGCAGCAUGCCAAACUGUUUUCUGUCUUGUUCUAUUGGCUCUUACGUGCAAAUUUUAUAAUAGCAGUAGAGGAGGCUGAUAUGACAACAUCUUUCAAAUAUGAAGAAGCUUCUGCCAAGGGGAAAGGAAUAAUCUGUUUUCUAUGUUUAAGAAUUAAUGAUUUAAAUAGCAGGUAGGUUAGAUUAGCUGCUCUGAACCUGUAGUCUGUAGACCCCUGGGGUUCUUUUGAAGGCUCUCUGGUCCAUCUGUCUUUAAGUGUUAGCAGACAUGCUUUUUCCAGUUAAGAGUAAUCGCUCAUGUUGUGAUUUUUUUAUAUGUAGAUUUUUAUUGGCAUCUUCAGGAACAAAGCUGAAGGUAUACUGACAAGUUCCUGAGUAACCUGAUCUGAUCAGACCUGCUUUGAGGAGAGGGUUAAAAUAGGUGACCUCUGGAGGUCCUUUCCACCCUAGAUUAUUCUUUUGUAUUAUGUAUUUUCAGAGAGCUCAGAGACAUCUUUUUGCAAGGUUGCAGGGAGAGGCCAACUUUAGGCCUUUGUAUGUUUUGCCCCAAGAGUACUGAGAUUAUGGCAUGACUCUCAACAUGGCAUGACUCUCAACAGUCUGAGGCAAGUUGCACUAACUUCUAAUGACUAUCACUGUAAGCUGAGACAUAUUAAUUGUGCUAACCCUUUUCUUUGUUCUGUGACAAGGGCAGAGUAGCACAAGCCUAGUUUGACCUUAUAUAUUGGACUACAUGUAAAAUAAACCAAGGCUUGAGACAAAAAACACUAGUAAAAACCUGGGCAUCUUUAAGUUGAAAGAAUUAUUUGGACUAAGAAAAGGCAUUUGGGCAGCUGGAUUAUUUCUAUAAUAAGCAAAGAUAUAAUUACAAUUUCAAAGAAUAUUUUAAAAUGUAUAUGUUGCAGGGAGAACUGGCAAUUGUUUUCUAGGAAUUUCUUCUCUGGCAGCUAGGUGAGGAGGAAGAAGAGUUAUCACAGCCACCCGUAGUCCUUGACUAGAAUCCUGCAUUUACUAUUGCAUUACCGUUCCCUGUUCUCUGUAGCCAAAAGGAAGAGGAAGUUACUGUUAGUACAUGGGGGCAGCUAAAGCUUUAAAUAUUUUCUCUCACCUUAUCUUUGCUUUACCCCUCAUAUUCCUUGGCUUUGUAUUUCAUGAGUCUGGCAUAACCCUAGACAUAGAAACCUCUAAAACUUCAGUGGCUAAGUGAAACAAUGGCAUAUCAAACCAUAGUAUAAGUUUGGUAAGACUUUUUCAGAGACUGAAGAUGUAGAUUAUCUGAGCUACCUGUUUUUCCUCUUUUAUCUGCUUUUCUUUGGUUUAAAAGGGAGGAGGGGAUAGUGGGCUUUAACAGCAGCUCCUAAAAUUCUCUCUUCUUUCUAGCAAGUACAGGUGAUAUAUCUUUGAUAGCUCCUAAAUGCACAUUGAUCAUUUUCAGUUUGGAAGGUUUCAUAUAAUAGCACUGUGUUUGUUACCGAAGACAAGUUCAGAUAUGUUUAUUGAGUUACUGUCUGUUAGAAGAGGGUAUUAGAUGUUCUCCAUGAUGAUAGGCGUCCAGAGCCCUCUCCCACAGCACAUGGACCGCGCUACUCCCCGGAACCAGCUAGGGUUCAGUUUUCAAACAUGACUAGCUGAAGCUCUGCUGGAGUUUCUCAAAGUCCCCAGCAAAGAUGAGAAUUUACUUAGUCAGGAUCUUUUCAACAAGAUGCAGAAAAAUACUUCCGUGGGUAGUUAUAAGGUAGUCUGUCCACUGCCAAAUGUUCUUUCUAAUUUUCUUGUUUAAAAAUAAACAAACAAACAAAAAACUGUCUUAUAUCAUAAACCACAAGUGCCUUUGCAGUAAUUCCAUCCAAGAUCUAAUCAGGUGUUGUGGACAGUAUUGUCUUGUAGUUGUGAAUUGUUCAAGUUAGUUGAUUUCUGUCCUCAUUUUGUAAACACUUAAAUAUUCACAGUCUUUGCUAUAGAGCCCUUCUUCAGAACCUAAGGGUGCAGUUUCUGGAGCUAUUUAAACAUAGAUAACCUUCCAUGCUAAGCGGAAAAAUUCCAUACCUCUCAUCUUCCCUUCCUAGCCUUUAACUUUUGAUCCUUCAGCUCCCUUGUGCUGGUAUUGGUGCUCCUUCAGCUGCAGCAUGAGAUUGAUCAGAGAGGUAGCCUGGGUGAGAACUGAUGCGGGUUAAUGUCACGGGAGAUGGCAGGAACACGCAGAAGGAGGAAGGCAGGAUGUCCCCCUCCUCCUCCUUGGUAGUUUUCCAGACAUAACAGAUUAAACCCAUGGUGAAACGCCAGCCUGACUUUGGAUGAAGGGUGCAGCAUGUUCAAGAUUCACUGCUUUGGGAUGGAGGAACUGCAAGAUAGACUCUAAACUAUUUUCAGUGAUCAAGGAUUGUGGUGUUAAAGCUAACAGGUGAGAUGACAGCCAUACAUCACUUUAGCAAACAGAGCACUUGCUUCCAUGUGCUCUGCUGGGAGUCAGUGGUUCUGUGGGACACAUGCCAGGUGCUUCAGGAGCAUCCUCUAGCCAUAUAUCUCACAGGGCAGGCAGAAGGAAUGUGCUAAGCAAUAGCCUCACUCGCAGGCUUCCAGAUGACAAACAUUGCUUAAACGAGUCCAUUAAAGUAAAAUAAACCCUUCUCAAUGUACAUGGGGAACAUAUAUAACACAAUAUAUGAAGCACAUCUAUAUUUGAUAUAUUUAAAACCUGAAUCUAUGAGAAUGGUGUAGUAUAUACUUUGAAUAAGAUACAUUCAGAGCUGCCGAAUGGGAAGCAGGGUGUUUUGAGAAAAUUUGUGAUCUUCUGAAAUAUGUUCAUAUUCUGAGAGAGGUAUGUAAGAUAUAGGACAACAAAGUACGUAUUUUCAUGGAGAUGUGAUCCAGCUGGUCUGCUGAGGCUUUGGAGAAUGCACUUUAUGCCUCUUGAGACUAACUAGAUAGCCUUUCUAAACAUGAAGACAUUUGAGAAAGUUUUACAUUUUGGAGGCCAUCUGUCCUCUAACCCUCUCCCAGGGCAGUUUUCUCCUGCAACUCCACAGCCUUUGGAAGUAAUGUAGCUACAGCAGACAAGUGGAAGUAAGGAGCUUUAUGUUCAGCAGAGCUAGUUUUUCAAGCAACAUAAAAUCCACCAAAACACCUGGGUGGAAGGAGGAAAGUCAGGAAUGGAGAAGAAAAUCUGUGAGUGCUGGAUGGUGCUUUGUCUGGGUCCUGGAAACGGGAAAUAAAGACAACUGAAGGAGAGAGAGAAAAAAAUAAAAUAUAAAGAGGGAGUACGGAACAGAAAAGUGUGUCAAAGCCUGGGUCAGUGAGUUAUGUCAUGAAGUGAUGUGUCUUGUUGGCCCAGUGGGGUUGAACUAGAAGGACAUAAGCAUAGUAUUGAAAUCUUCAACGAAAGAGAUGAGAACAGGUCAAGAAUAGACCUUUGUAUCCUGCUAGCAGCUUGUGAAAGGGAGGCAAGAUCCUUGCUACAUGUCACCGUAAGUCAAGUAUGUUGCAGCAUGAUUGUUCCAUGAUUUUAGGUUUGUGGGUAAGGAGGGUGAUGAAGUAAUAGAAGGUAAAAUCACCCCCCUUUUGGGGGGCAAAAAAUGUCAUGGUGGGCUGGUGAGAGAUGAGAGUACGGUAGCACGUGGAGAGAGAUGAGAGCCAGACUGCAGAGAGAAGGGAGAAUGUAGUACGGCGAAAAGAACGCUGAAGUUCAAAUGAUCUUGUCCUGGUUUGGGCAUCAUGCUUUAGGAUUCUUGCAGUGCUGUUCCAUCAGGCUGGUGAUAGUGCCCUCUGGAAGGUACCACACUUACCUAUAGGGAGCCCUGAUGAUAAUAGGCUCUGUGCUCUCUAGUGAGGGACCAUUCAAACAAGUCAUCUGGAACCAAUGGGGUUUGUGCUUUUCUGUAUACUUCCUUUGUCAGCCUAAAAGUCUGUUGAGAUACAAACUACAUUGUAAUAAUUUCCAUGUAAGACAGCAAAGGUUGUUAUUUAAAAUAAAAUUUGGUCUGAUAUACCUUCCCUGGCAAAUAAGCUUGAAUAAUUAAAGGAUUUUAACAAUAAAAAAGUACCUGUUUCAAUUAUGUUUCAGAGGGUUAAAAUCUACCACCUUGUCUAAGUGCAGAAAGAACAGGUGGCAAAAUGAGGUUUCUCUCCACAACUUAAAUGAAAUCAGUCCUCACCAACCCCAGUUAGUUCUUUGCCUGCUUGUUCCUGUGUUAAUUUAAUAUGGAUCUUCAUAGGGGCUUAAUUUGAGAGCAAGGAGGCAGCAGCUAUGUUCUGUCUCCUAUC